AAGUAUAACAAUUAAAAAUGAAUUAACCUCUAUCACUAAAUGAUUACAGAAUCAAUCAAACAUACUUAUACAUAAUACUGACAAAGAAAAUGUAAUAAAACUAAUUUGAAAGCAAAUUUAAAACCAGAUGCUCAGCAGGGCGUAGCUUUCCAGGACUGCAGAGGUCCAACCCUAAACAGUUGUGCAAGUAUGAACACAACAUUCAAGCUUGAUACUGUCUGAAUUUGGAUUGUGAUCAAAUUUUUGACAUAGUAUAGGUUUCUGACAUAAAAUAAAUGUGGUUAAAGAUUUUACAAAUCUAUUGCUCAUUUACUGUCAGUGUGCAAUUGAAGAUUUUAUCUUGAAAACUUUUCAAAAAUGUGAAAAAAAUAUAUGAAUCCCAUUAAAAAAUUAACCCCAACUUAUUAAAAAAAGACUUGGAGCAAUAACCCCAAAACUCAAUUCAAGCAUUCCCUUUGUAGUAUGGAACCUUGUAGUACAAUUUCAGAGAGAUCCAUACACUUAAACACAAGUUAUUGUCUAGAAACUAGAAAAAUGCUUCUUUUGGCCCUUUUAUGGCCCCUAAUUCCUACAUGUUUGGGGUAAUGAGCCCCAAACUCAAUCCCAUUCUUCCAUUUGUUAUAUGGAACAGUGUGGUACAAUUUCAGAGAGAUUUAUACACUUACUUACAAGUUAUUGUCAAGUUUUUGGCCCCUUUGUGGCCCUUAAUUCCUAAACUGUUGGCCCCAUAACCCCUAAAAUGAAUCCCAAUCUUCUACUUGUGGUUUUUAACAUUGUGGUACUAUUUCAGGGUAAUUGAAAUAUUUAAACACAAGUUAUUAUCCUGAAACUAAAAAAACGCUUGUUUUAGGCCCCAUUUGGGCCCCUAAUUCCUAAACGGUUGGGACCAUCAACCCCAACCAUCAGCCUUCCUUUUGUG
rnacentral:lncRNA from 1 species